AAGCCCGCGCCCGCCGUCGAGGGACGACCCGGAGCAGGUGAAGAAACUGAGGCUGGAGAAAUUAAGUUCCUUGAUUAGGACAUCUCUACUUAAUCUUACUGGAAUCCAGUGCACACUUGAAACAGUGCAAAAACAAUGGAGAUAUUUGCCUGCUAUAGCAAUAGAGGAAGCCAGAAGACAAUGAAGCAAUGCCUUCAAAAUUCUGAAAGAAAAUUAUUUUCAAGAAUUAUAUACCCAGCCAAACUGUCAAUUAAGAGUGAAGGUAGAAGAGAGACAUUUCAGACAUGUAAAAAUCUCACAAACAAUGUAUUUCAAUUCACCUUUUCUCAGGAAGAGAGAGAGGAAGCCAAGAAAGAGAAAGACAUGUGACCUUGGGAGAUAAAGAUGUAGCACAGGGAAAAGGAAAAGGAGAUUCCUAAUUGACAGUGAAGAGAGAUCCAAAGGAGAUGGCUAUGUGGCAGGCCAAAAGGCCAUAGUCUCCAUAGGAUCUGGUUAGAGCAUUCAAAGAGACUUCAAGAAAAUCAAAGUCAUUUAGUAUUAUCAAGAAAAUAGAAAACAACCCUAGUUAGUGAGUUAAUAAGGAAGCCAUGAAAAACUAAAUGAACAAAUUACAAAUUUCAAGGAAAACGGAAUGUGCAGGAAAGGUAAAGGAUAAUAUAGUAUGUGGCUUAACUGUGACUGAUAUUUAGUAAUGAUAAUAAUAUAAACAUUGAAUAUUAAGCUAGCUGAAAUUAUAACUGCACUAAUAAGAUAGGAGGAUAGUGACUGGUGAGGGCCGAGCUAAAUUCCCAUCUACUAAAGUAAAAAAUCAAUAGAUAAUGCCUAAAACUGAAAACUCAAGAAAACACCUAAAAUUGAAAACUCACAAAGUAGCAAUAUAAGCAUGUUGUAAGAGAUAUUAAGAGUUAAGAUGACACCAAAAACCAUAAAAUACCUGGGAAUAAAUCUAACCAAAGAGGUGAAAAAUCUAUACGCUGAAAACUGUAGAAAGCUUAUGAAAGAAAUUGAAGA